rnacentral:rRNA from 1 species
UACAGAGGGGGCAAGCGUUGUUCGGAAUUACUGGGCGUAAAGGGCGCGUAGGCGGCCUUCUAAGUCGAACGUGAAAUCCCCGGGCUCAACCUGGGAACUGCGUCUGAUACUGGAUGGCUUGAAUUCGGGAGAGGGAUGCAGAAUUCCAGGUGUAGCGGUGAAAUGCGUAGAUAUCUGGAGGAAUACCGGUGGCGAAGGCGGCAUCCUGGACCGAUAUUGACACUGAUGAGCGAAAGCCAGGGGAGCAAACGGG